rnacentral:misc_RNA from 1 species
UAACCAAUCAAGCCUGGCUUGGUGUUGGAGUUCGCGGUCUCGCGGCUCUUAAAAGCAGUGGCGGUGCCGUCUGGCUCUAAGCGUAGUAAUUUCUCUCGCUAUAGGGUUCGGCGGUUGCUUGCCAGAAUCUCCAUUUUUACGG